UCCAGGGUAGCUUAGUGGACAUGGCAUCUUCCCGGUAAGCGGAACACUGUGGGUUCGUUUCCCAUCCCUGGAC
rnacentral:tRNA from 1 species